CUGUCAGGAUGACGCUGCGCGUGCUAUACAUGCAGUCGAGCGAACGGACGAGAAGCUUGCUUCUCUGAUGUUAGCGGCGGACGGGUGAGUAACACGUGGAUAACCUACCUAUAAGACUGGGAUAACUUCGGGAAACCGGAGCUAAUACCGGAUAAUAUUUUGAACCGCAUGGUUCAAAAGUGAAAGACGGUCUUGCUGUCACUUAUAGAUGGAUCCGCGCUGCAUUAGCUAGUUGGUAAGGUAACGGCUUACCAAGGCAACGAUGCAUAGCCGACCUGAGAGGGUGAUCGGCCACACUGGAACUGAGACACGGUCCAGACUCCUACGGGAGGCAGCAGUAGGGAAUCUUCCGCAAUGGGCGAAAGCCUGACGGAGCAACGCCGCGUGAGUGAUGAAGGUCUUCGGAUCGUAAAACUCUGUUAUUAGGGAAGAACAUAUGUGUAAGUAACUGUGCACAUCUUGACGGUACCUAAUCAGAAAGCCACGGCUAACUACGUGCCAGCAGCCGCGGUAAUACGUAGGUGGCAAGCGUUAUCCGGAAUUAUUGGGCGUAAAGCGCGCGUAGGCGGUUUUUUAAGUCUGAUGUGAAAGCCCACGGCUCAACCGUGGAGGGUCAUUGGAAACUGGAAAACUUGAGUGCAGAAGAGGAAAGUGGAAUUCCAUGUGUAGCGGUGAAAUGCGCAGAGAUAUGGAGGAACACCAGUGGCGAAGGCGACUUUCUGGUCUGUAACUGACGCUGAUGUGCGAAAGCGUGGGGAUCAAACAGGAUUAGAUACCCUGGUAGUCCACGCCGUAAACGAUGAGUGCUAAGUGUUAGGGGGUUUCCGCCCCUUAGUGCUGCAGCUAACGCAUUAAGCACUCCGCCUGGGGAGUACGACCGCAAGGUUGAAACUCAAAGGAAUUGACGGGGACCCGCACAAGCGGUGGAGCAUGUGGUUUAAUUCGAAGCAACGCGAAGAACCUUACCAAAUCUUGACAUCCUUUGACAACUCUAGAGAUAGAGCUUUCCCCUUCGGGGGACAAAGUGACAGGUGGUGCAUGGUUGUCGUCAGCUCGUGUCGUGAGAUGUUGGGUUAAGUCCCGCAACGAGCGCAACCCUUAAGCUUAGUUGCCAUCAUUAAGUUGGGCACUCUAAGUUGACUGCCGGUGACAAACCGGAGGAAGGUGGGGAUGACGUCAAAUCAUCAUGCCCCUUAUGAUUUGGGCUACACACGUGCUACAAUGGACAAUACAAAGGGCAGCGAAACCGCGAGGUCAAGCAAAUCCCAUAAAGUUGUUCUCAGUUCGGAUUGUAGUCUGCAACUCGACUACAUGAAGCUGGAAUCGCUAGUAAUCGUAGAUCAGCAUGCUACGGUGAAUACGUUCCCGGGUCUUGUACACACCGCCCGUCACACCACGAGAGUUUGUAACACCCGAAGCCGGUGGAGUAACCUUUUAGGAGCUAGCCGUCG
rnacentral:rRNA from 1 species